rnacentral:rRNA from 1 species
GCCUACGGGGGGCAGCAGUAGGGAAUCUUCCACAAUGGGCGAAAGCCUGAUGGAGCAACGCCGCGCGGGUGAAGAAGGUCUUCGGAUCGUAAAACCCUGUUGUUAGAGAAGAAAGUGCGUGAGAGUAACUGUUCACGUUUCGACGGUAUCUAACCAGAAAGCCACGGCUAACUACGUGCCAGCAGCCGCGGUAAUACGUAGGUGGCAAGCGUUAUCCGGAUUUAUUGGGCGUAAAGGGAACGCAGGCGGUCUUUUAAGUCUGAUGUGAAAGCCUUCGGCUUAACCGGAGUAGUGCAUUGGAAACU